rnacentral:rRNA from 1 species
AGAGUUUGAUCCUGGCUCAGAUUGAACGCUGGCGGCAUGCUUUACACAUGCAAGUCGAACGGCAGCGAGGAGAAGCUUGCUUCUCUGUCGGCGAGUGGCGAACGGGUGAGUAUAGCAUCGGAACGUGCCAAGUAGUGGGGGAUAACCAAACGAAAGUUUGGCUAAUACCGCGUAAGCUCCAAGGAGGAAAGUAGGGGACCUAAAUAAGGCCUUACGCUAUUUGAUCGGCCGAUGUCGGAUUAGUUAGUUGGUGGGGUAAUGGCUCACCAAGGCAAUGAUCCGUAGCGGGUCUGAGAGGACGAUCCGCCACACUGGGACUGAGACACGGCCCAGACUCCUACGGGAGGCAGCAGUGGGGAAUUUUGGACAAUGGGGGAAACCCUGAUCCAGCCAUGCCGCGUGUAUGAAGAAGGCCUUAGGGUUGUAAAGUACUUUUGUUAGGGAAGAAAAGCUAGUUUUUAAUAAAAAUUAGUGAUGACGGUACCUAAAGAAUAAGCACCGGCUAACUACGUGCCAGCAGCCGCGGUAAUACGUAGGGUGCAAGCGUUAAUCGGAAUUAUUGGGCGUAAAGCGAGUGCAGACGGUUACUUAAGCCAGAUGUGAAAUCCCCAAGCUUAACUUGGGACGUGCAUUUGGAACUGGGUAACUAGAGUGUGUCAGAGGGAGGUAGAAUUCCACAUGUAGCGGUGGAAUGCGUAGAGAUGUGGAGGAAUACCGAUGGCGAAGGCAGCCUCCUGGGAUAACACUGAAGUUGAGGCUCGAAAGCGUGGGGAGCAAACAGGAUUAGAUACCCUGGUAGUCCACGCCCUAAACGAUGACAAUUAGCUGUUGGGCUUUGAAAGGCUUAGUAGCGAAGCUAACGCGAGAAAUUGUCCGCCUGGGGAGUACGGUCGCAAGAUUAAAACUCAAAGGAAUUGACGGGGACCCGCACAAGCGGUGGAUGAUGUGGAUUAAUUCGAUGCAACGCGAAGA